GGAGAGGUGGCAGAGUGGUCGAUUGCGUCCGACUUGAAAUCGGAUGUACCGAAAGGUACCGUGAGUUCGAAUCUCACCCUCUCCG
rnacentral:tRNA from 1 species